GACGAACGCUGGCGGCGUGCUUAACACAUGCCAGUCGAACGGAAAGGCCCAGCUUGCUGGGUACUCGAGUGGCGAACGGGUGAGUAACACGUGGGUGAUCUGCCCCUGACUUUGGGAUAAGCCUGGGAAACUGGGUCUAAUACCGGAUAUGACCUUACAUCGCAUGGUGUUUGGUGGAAAGCUUUUGCGGUUGGGGAUGGGCCCGCGGCCUAUCAGCUUGUUGGUGGGGUAAUGGCCUACCAAGGCGACGACGGGUAGCCGACCUGAGAGGGUGAUCGGCCACACUGGGACUGAGACACGGCCCAGACUCCUACGGGAGGCAGCAGUGGGGAAUAUUGCACAAUGGGCGCAAGCCUGAUGCAGCGACGCCGCGUGAGGGAUGACGGCCUUCGGGUUGUAAACCUCUUUCACCAGGGACGAAGCGUGAGUGACGGUACCUGGAGAAGAAGCACCGGCCAACUACGU
rnacentral:rRNA from 1 species